rnacentral:rRNA from 1 species
UACAGAGGUCCCAAGCGUUGUUCGGAUUUACUGGGCGUAAAGGGUGCGUAGGUGGCGGGGUAAGUCUGGUGUGAAAGCUCCGAGCUCAACUCGGAAAAGCAUUGGAAACUAUCCCGCUUGAGGGUCGGAGGGGAGACUGGAAUUCUCGGUGUAGCAGUGAAAUGCGUAGAUAUCGAGAGGAACACCAGUGGCGAAGGCGGCUCUCUGGGACGGUACUGACGCUGAGACGCGAAAGCGUGGGGAGCGAACAGG